UGGUUAAUGAUCCAACAACGGGGGGCGCUGUGAUCUCGGAUGCAUUACUUCACUUCCGGGAUUAAGGCAUGUUGAGACUGUCGCAUCGGUGCCGAAUAUAUCUCAUCCCAGGGUGAUGGGGCCAGACAGUGCCCCAGGUCCAGCUGUGCCCUGGCAGAAGGUGCUGUGGGAGCACCAGCCGUACCCUGAUAACUAUGUGGACCAGCGGUUCCUAGAAGAAUUGCGGAGGAAUGAGGGCAUCCGGCAGUACCACUACUGGGCUGUGGUGAGAGAAGCAGGCUUUGUGGGACAGCAGUUGUCAUGUGUGGCCAUUUUCAUCACCCUGUGGCUCUACAUGGAGCAGGGUCUGCUGUCCCCUGAGAAAUUGCUGUUGACCACCCUUGUCUGUGCCCUGCUGGGUUAUGGACUGCACCAAGCCUUGACAUUUCAGGUUGAAUCAGGCUGUGAACCCCGGACCCAUCUAGCCGACUUACAGAGUGCCACUCUUUUUCUUUCCUUCACCUUUGGUUUCUCGCCAGUUCUAAAGACACUAACAGAAUCCGUGAGUACAGACACAGUGUAUGCGAUGUCUGCUGUGAUGUUGUUGGCCCACCUGGUGUCUUUCCCUUAUGCCCAGCCCUCACCCCCAGGCAGCCUCUCCCUAAAUGCAGCCCUGUUUGCCUCUGUGUGUUUAGCCUCACGGUUGCCAGGGGCUCUGCACACCUUCGCCAUGCUCAGCUGUGCCCUUCUGGUAUUUGCUCUCUGGCCCUGCUUGCUGCAGAAGCUGAGGGAGAAUGCCCCUAACCAGUUUAUUGGGGUGUGUGUGGGAGUGUGUUUAGGAGGGGUCGGAGGUCUGGGGUCCCUCUCACCAGGUGGAGCCGUGCUGUUGGCCCUGGCCCUAGGAAGUGUUACGCUACUCUGUCCUUUACUAUUAGUCAGGCUGCAGAAACAAAAGGACAACAUCCAAGGACCCUGGGAUGAGGCUGAGAUUCAUGAGGACCUCAGCCACUUCCUUCACUAAUGGACAGAACAGUGCUCCUGAUCAAACUGAUAUUGAAAGAGUAAGCAAAUGGAAAAUUUGCUGUGAACUAAUGUACUCACACACACUGUUUUGUAAGUGUUGUAUGGAAAUAUUAGCUCUUUUAUUACUGCUCCACAUGUUUGGGCAACCAUGACAAUUUGUUAUUCUCUUGCAGGGAAUAUCAAGAUGUUUUUAAUGUUCAAGCUGCUACUAUCUUGUAAACUUGUGAGAAGUCCAGUGUAAUAAGCCAGUAUCAGUACGGAUCACAGGGCAAGAGAAAUACGGCAGUACUGCUCUCACAAAACUGUCAGCCAUGCUGCCACACUCCAGACUACCCGUCGUAUGGAUUAGGUUCUCUGACUUUGCAGCCUCGGCCCGGCCCAUGCAUUGAUCCUGGCUGCGUGUGUGAUAACUGAUGAGACACCAUACUGUCAAUUACUGUCAAUCAUGGGCAAAGGAGACGUUGCUGGUUCCAUAGACAAGGUUACCAUCUGCCAUAAUAGGCUCACUGGAUCUGGCAGAGGGUCAUGAUGAGGGUGGUCAUUUCUAGAUGGGCCAAUACCAGCGCUGGAACCUGAUUGUUGUCCCUGUAGAUGAGUGAGUGAACACCCCUCAGGCUUGGCACA